AUACGGAGGAUCCGAGCGUUAUCCGGAUUUAUUGGGUUUAAAGGGAGCGUAGGCGGACGCUUAAGUCAGUUGUGAAAGUUUGCGGCUCAACCGUAAAAUUGCAGUUGAUACUGGGUGUCUUGAGUACAGUAGAGGCAGGCGGAAUUCGUGGUGUAGCGGGGAAAUGCUUAGAUAUCACGAAGAACUCCGAUUGCGAAGGCAGCUUACUGGACUGUAACUGACGCUGAUGCUCGAAAGUGUGGGUAUCAAACAGGAUUAGAUACCCUGGUAGUCCGCACAGUAAACGAUGAAUACUCGCUGUUUGCGAUACACUGUAAGCGGCCAAGCGAAAGCGUUAAGUAUUCCACCUGGGGAGUACGCCGGCAACGGUGAAACUCAAAUGAAUUGGCGGGG
rnacentral:rRNA from 1 species